CAAAGCACUCUGGGAAAACGGAGCGCCGCCGCGCCGCGCUCGCGUCUUUCCGUCCGCCUCUACGACUGCGCCCGGCUACCGAAAAGACUUUCUCAGCCAUGUCGUCGUCAUCGCUGUUUCUUGGUCUUCCUGUUGUGUCUGCUGUUCCUUUGCAUGGCAUGACACAGUUGGAUGUUGCGUUCUGCCGCCAUGGAUCACCAGCCGAACACGGCACCACUGCAAGCCGUGGAAAAUGUUCAGCCACUAUCACUGAGUCUGCCGAAAGGACCGUGGACUAAACAGCUGAAAGACUUGUGCAGAAGUUUUGCGGAGAACUCCAUUAAAUGGAAUGAUAUGUUUUUGUC